rnacentral:rRNA from 1 species
AUGCUGACAUAAGUAACGAUAAAGCGGGUGAAAAGCCCGCUCGCCGGAAGACCAAGGGUUCCUGUCCAACGUUAAUCGGGGCAGGGUGAGUCGACCCCUAAGGCGAGGCCGAAAGGCGUAGUCGAUGGGAAACGGGUUAAUAUUCCCGUACUUGGUGUUACUGCGAAGGGGGGACGGAGAAGGCUAUGUUGGCCGGGCGACGGUUGUCCCGGUUUAAGCGUGUAGGUGUGUGUUCCAGGUAAAUCCGGUUCACUUUAACACUGAGGCGUGAUGACGAGGCACUACGGUGCUGAAGCAACAAAUGCCCUGCUUCCAGGAAAAGCCUCUAAGCAUCAGGUAACAUCAAAUCGUACCCCAAACCGACACAGGUGGUCAGGUAGAGAAUACCAAGGCGCUUGAGAGAACUCGGGUGAAGGAACUAGGCAAAAUGGUGCCGUAACUUCGGGAGAAGGCACGCUGACACGUAGGUGAAGUGAUUUACUCAUGGAGCUGAAGUCAGUCGAAGAUACCAGCUGGCUGCAACUGUUUAUUAAAAACACAGCACUGUGCAAACACGAAAGUGGACGUAUACGGUGUGACGCCUGCCCGGUGCCGGAAGGUUAAUUGAUGGGGUCAGCGCAAGCGAAGCUCCUGAUCGAAGCCCCGGUAAACGGCGGCCGUAACUAUAACGGUCCUAAGGUAGCGAAAUUCCUUGUCGGGUAAGUUCCGACCUGCACGAAUGGCGUAAUGAUGGCCAGGCUGUCUCCACCCGAGACUCAGUGAAAUUGAACUCGCUGUGAAGAUGCAGUGUACCCGCGGCAAGACGGAAAGACCCCGUGAACCUUUACUAUAGCUUGACACUGAACAUUGAGCCUUGAUGUGUAGGAUAGGUGGGAGGCUUUGAAGCGUGGACGCCAGUCUGCGUGGAGCCGACCUUGAAAUACCACCCUUUAAUGUUUGAUGUUCUAACGUGGACCCGUAAUCCGGGUUGCGGACAGUGUCUGGUGGGUAGUUUGACUGGGGCGGUCUCCUCCUAAAGAGUAACGGAGGAGCACGAAGGUUGGCUAAUCCUGGUCGGACAUCAGGAGGUUAGUGCAAUGGCAUAAGCCAGCUUGACUGCGAGCGUGACGGCGCGAGCAGGUGCGAAAGCAGGUCAUAGUGAUCCGGUGGUUCUGAAUGGAAGGGCCAUCGCUCAACGGAUAAAAGGUACUCCGGGGAUAACAGGCUGAUACCGCCCAAGAGUUCAUAUCGACGGCGGUGUUUGGCACCUCGAUGUCGGCUCAUCACAUCCUGGGGCUGAAGUAGGUCCCAAGGGUAUGGCUGUUCGCCAUUUAAAGUGGUACGCGAGCUGGGUUUAGAACGUCGUGAGACAGUUCGGUCCCUAUCUGCCGUGGGCGCUGGAGAACUGAGGGGGGCUGCUCCUAGUACGAGAGGACCGGAGUGGACGCAUCACUGGUGUUCGGGUUGUCAUGCCAAUGGCACUGCCCGGUAGCUAAAUGCGGAAGAGAUAAGUGCUGAAAGCAUCUAAGCACGAAACUUGCCCCGGGAUGAGUUCUCCCUGAGACUUAGAGUCUCCUGAAGGAACGUUGAAGACGACGACGUUGAUAGGCCGGGUGUGUAAGCGCAGCGAUGCGUUGAGCUAACCGGUACUAAUGAACCGUGAGGCUUAACCUU